rnacentral:rRNA from 1 species
AACGAACGCUGGCGGCGUGCCUAACACAUGCAAGUCGAACGAGAAAGGGGCUUCGGCUCCGAGUAAAGUGGCGCACGGGUGAGUAACACGUGGGUAACCUGCCUCUAAGAUUGGGAUAACUCGUCGAAAGAUGAGCUAAUACCGAAUAAGACCACAGUUCCCGCGGGAACAGGGGUCAAAGGUAGCCUCUGCUUGCAAGCUAUCACUUAGAGAUGAGCCUGCGCACCAUUAGCUAGUUGGUAGGGUAACGGCCUACCAAGGCAAAGAUGGUUAGCUGGUCUGAGAGGAUGAUCAGCCACACUGGGACUGGGAAACGGUCCAGACUCCUACGGGAGGCAGCAGUGGGGAAUAUUGCGCAAUGGGCGAAAGCUUGACGCAGCAACGCCGCGUGAGUGAUGAAGGCCUUCGGGUCGUAAAGCUCUGUCGGGAGGAACGAAUGCUCCUGAGGUUAACAGCCUCGGGAGGUGACGGUACCUUCAAAGGAAGCACCGGCUAACUCUGUG